CCCUUUACCACACUGCAGUUGCCCUGGGGCCUUGUCUCUACAAAGCAGAACCCUUGGGGGAAGUUCAGGGUUGAUCAGCAACAAACUGUCUCACAAGCUAUUCCUCAAGGCUGUUGGACUUGGAGGAGCUUCUCCCAUUUCUCAUAAUUUCCUAUCACCUAUCAUCCUAUCCCACCAUUAAAAAUCAGCAUAAGGGUGUGAUAGGUAUACAGCUGGUUGUUACCAUGGUGAUGGCCAGUGUCAUGCAGAAGAUUAUACCUCACUAUUCUCUUGCUCGAUGGCUACUCUGUAAUGGCAGCUUGAGAUGGUAUCAACACCCUUCCGAAGAAGAAUUAAGAAUCCUUGCAGGGAAGCAGCAGAAAGGAAAAAGUAAAAAAGACAGAAAAUACAAUGGCCAUAUUGAAAAUAAGCCACUAACCAUUCCAAAAGAUAUUGACCUUCAUCUAGAAACCAAGUCCGUUACAGAAGUGGAUACUUUAGCACUGCAUUACUUUCCAGAAUACCAGUGGCUGGUGGACUUCACGGUGGCUGCUACUGUUGUGUAUUUAGUAACUGAAGUCUAUUACAGCUUUAUGAAGCCCACACAGGAAAUGAAUAUCAGCUUAGUCUGGUGCCUCCUGGUUUUGUCUUUUGCAGCAAAGUUCUAUUUUCAUUAACUACACACUAUUUUAAAGUAGAAGAUGGAGGUGAGAGGUCAGUUUGUGUCACCUUUGGAUUUUUUUUCUUCGUUAAAGCAAUGGCAGUUUUGAUCGUAACAGAGAACUACCUGGAGUUUGGACUUGAAACAGGGUUUACAAAUUUUUCAGACACUGCGAUGCAGUUUCUUGAAAAGCAAGGUUUAGAAUCUCAGGGUCCUGUUUCAAAACUUACUUUCAAAUUUUUCCUGGCUGUUUUCUGUUCACUCAUUGGGGCUUUUUUGACAUUUCCUGGAUUACGGCUGGCUCAAAUGCAUCUGGAUGCCCUGAAUUUGGCAACAGAAAAAAUUACACAGUAAGCGGAAAAUGUACAUAAGCACAUGCAGAUAAAUAUAUGUUUUCCAUCUUAAUUAAG
rnacentral:lncRNA from 1 species